UACGUAUGGUGCGAGCGUUAAUCGGAAUUACUGGGCGUAAAGGGUGCGCAGGCGGUUCUGCAAGUCAGGCGUGAAAUCCCCGGGCUUAACCUGGGAAUGGCGCUUGAAACUACGGGACUGGAGUAUGGCAGAGGGAGGUGGAAUUCCACGUGUAGCGGUGAAAUGCGUAGAGAUGUGGAGGAACACCGAUGGCGAAGGCAGCCUCCUGGGCCAGCACUGACGCUCAUGCACGAAAGCGUGGGGAGCAAACAGG
rnacentral:rRNA from 1 species